rnacentral:rRNA from 1 species
GCGUUUGGUGGAUGCCUUGGCAGUAAGAGGCGAUGAAGGACGCGUAUUAGACUGCGAAAUGCUUCGGCGAGCCGUCAAAUAGGCUUUGACCCGGAGGUGUCCGAAUGGGGAAACCCCGCUGCAUGAGAGUGCAGUGACAGCGUGGUGAGUAAAGUAGCCAUGUCUGAGCGAACCGAGGGAACUGAAACAUCUAAGUACCUCGAGGAAAGUAAAUCAACCGAGAUUCCGCAAGUAGCGGCGAGCGAACGCGGACCAGGCCAAACCGGUAUGCUUGCAUACCGGGGUUGUAGGACUUGCAUCAAGGGGAAACUGGUAGAGGAACGAUCUGGGAAGGUCGACCAUAGAGAGUGAAAGUCUCGUACUUAAAACUGGUGGAACUGGGCAAGUAUCCUGAGUAGGACGGGACACGAGAAAUCUUGUCUGAAUCUGGGGGGACCACCCUCCAAGCCUAAAUACUACUGACUGACCGAUAGUGAACUAGUACCGUGAGGGAAAGAUGAAAAGAACCCCGAUAAGGGGAGUGAAAUAGAACUUGAAACCAUGUACCUACAAUCGGUGGAAGCGCUAUUGUAAAGCGUGACCACGUACCUUUUGCAUUAUGAGCCAUCGAGUUACGAUGUGUAGCGAGGUUAAGCCUUUAGGUGUAGCCGUAGGGAAACCGAGUCUGAAUAGGGCGAAUAGUUGCAUGUCGUAGACCCGAAACGGGAUGAGC